UACGUAGGGUGCGAGCGUUAAUCGGAAUUACUGGGCGUAAAGCGUGCGCAGGCGGUUCGUUGUGUCGGCGGUGAAAGCCCCGGGCUUAACCUGGGAAUGGCCGUUGAAACUGGCGAACUGGAGUGUGGCAGAGGGGGGUGGAAUUCCGCGUGUAGCAGUGGAAAUGCGUAGAGAUGCGGAGGAACACCGAUGGCGAAGGCAGCCCCCUGGGCUGACACUGACGCUCAGGCACGAAGCGUGGGAGC
rnacentral:rRNA from 1 species